AUAUCAGUCAUGCAUAGCAUAUCAAUAAGCGGAGGAAAAGAAACUAACAAGGAUUCCCUUAGUAACGGCGAGUGAAGCGGGAAGAGCUCAAAUUUGAAAUCUUCAAGGUUCUACCUUGACGAAUUGUAGUUUAUAGAAGUGUUUUCUGUUAGUAGAGUGGCAAAAGUUCUUUGGAAUAGGACAUCAUAGAGGGUGAGAAUCCCGUAUUUGGUCAUUCCUUCCUAGCUUUGUGAUACACUUUCAACGAGUCGGAUUGUUUGGGAAUGCAGUCCAAAAUGGGUGGUAAAUUUCAUCUAAAGCUAAAUAUUGGCGAGAGACCGAUAGCGAACAAGUACCGUGAGGGAAAGAUGAAAAGAACUUUGAAAAGAGAGUUAAACAGUACGUGAAAUUGUCAAAAGGGAAGCGUUUGACACCAGUGUUGUUUUUCCGAAAAUCAAUUACGAAUGUUUUGUUUUUGAGAAGUUAUGACUUCAUCGGCUUGCUUCUCUCUUUAUCGAAACUUUCUUAAUGCACUUUUCGGUUAACAAGUCAACAUCAAUUUCUUUUGUUGUAAAAGGGUAUGAGGAAGGUGGCUUUCUUUUCGGAGAAAGUGUUUAUAGCCUUGUACCUCUGCAAUCGGAGAGAUUGAGGUCUGCAGCGUAGAUCCUUCGGGGUUAGAUACAUUUGUGCUAAGUUAUAGCUUUUCAUAGACAACUUGUUGACUAUGUUAGUCUUGUAGCUUACUCGCUGAUGCUAUUUUACCUACGCUUAGGAUGUUGAUCUCUCACAGUCGAGC
rnacentral:rRNA from 1 species